GGCCGCAUCACGUUGAAACGUAGGUUCCCGUACGAUCACCGAAGUUAAGCAACGUCGAGUCUAUUCAGUACUUAGAUGAGUGAUUGCUUGGGAAGGCUAGGUGCUGUAAG